CAGUUCUACAUACAAGACAGCUUAUGUCUAAAUGAAUACUCAGGCAGAAUUAACCGCAAGAGUGCAUCAUUAUAGAUGUGGCUGGAAGGUCUGUCUGAAAACAUGUGCUCGACUGUCGCCACCCAGGAGCUGAGGAUUUUGGCCCCAACCCCCCGAGGGCGGUUCUGCAGCAUCUUUUGCUCUUGAAAAGCAAGUUUUGGAUAAACUUUGUGACCAUUAUAGUCGCCUGGUUCCAACUCUGUGCCCUUCUUUUCUGGAACCUUCCAAACGCAUCCAGGCCACAGCCAUUUAUCCUACUUUUAACAUUUCUCCUUCACAUGCUGAUUCGUUUACUCACUGAAAGCUUGACUUUUACAACCUCCUAAAUUGCCUCAACUCCAACCCAAACUUGGCCGGAAAAUACUUGGACAAAAAUGGUUCGGGUGGUAUUUCAGCUCUUGAAGGAGAAAAAGCAAAACACAGGAGGAAUGAUUGUUUUUACUUGUUGCACGGGAGUGCAGGAAACAGAGCAGCAUUCCGGCUGUGCCAGGUGGAUAGAACCAGAUGAGCAACCCGCACAGGCGGCCGCCAAGGAAGUCACGGGAGGAGGAAUCGAGGCGCGCAGGUGUCGAGAGAAAGGUCCCCUGGAGGUUAAACCAAGGCGGGAGGGCGGAGUCAGGAGUGACAUGAGGUGGCUGAUAAGCCCAGUCACCCAGCCAGGACGGUCACGCCGAGAGAGGCCGUCGGGUGACGAGGGACACGGAGGAGGAAGGCUGUGCCAGCCGGGGUGGUUGGGGAUGGGCAGGUGCUGGAGAAUCAGGAGGUCGGGAGGGCCCCACCCAGGCCCGGCUGAGUCCAGGCUGAGUGACUUCCCAGACUGGGGGACAUCUACGCCCCUGAGGCCCCUCCAGUCUCCCAGGCGGACACUGAGCUCCCGAUGGGGCCAGGAGCUGCCACCUGCCUGGAGGGGACCUGGGAAACUCAGGCCGAGGCCUCAGACCCAGAGGACAGUGGCGUCUGCUGUGAAUUAGGGGAAAGCAACAUGACCAGAGGGCGCUUUGCAGACCCUCCGACCCCGUGAGCCUCUGAGCUGGAGGCUUAAGUCCUGACCUGAGACCCCAUCCAAGCACCUGCCUGCCGGGAACACACACAUGCACACACACGUGCACAUGCACACAUGCACAUGUAGGCACUCACGCGCAUGCACACACAUGCAGGCACUCACAUGCACACGCACACACAUGCGCACACAUGCACUCACAUGCGCAUGCACACACGCAGACAUCGCCCCUGCCUAUGUGGUAGUUCACUAGUUCUACAGGCGUUCGUGGAGCGCUUCUUGCCAUGCACCACAUUACGUUCCAAGAAAACUCAGAUGAGCCGGGUCUCGUUCCUGUGCCGGAAGCUCUGGUCCACUUGGAGGACAACUGUUUCCAGUGAGCAGCUCGCAGGGUGAGGGUGGCACAUGGAUGAUGGCAGCUGGACGGGUGCACAGGGAGUAUCUGCCUUCCCCGGACUGAGUUUACUACAGAAAUGCGCGAAGCUGGCAUAACUGCCAUGGCUGAGGGGUGAGUGCUCAGGGG
ensembl:lncRNA